rnacentral:rRNA from 1 species
CGGGUGAGUAACGCGUGGGCAACCUGCCUUAUACAGGGGGAUAACAGCUGGAAACAGCUGCUAAUACCGCAUAAGCGCACAGCGGCGCAUGACGCAGUGUGAAAAACUGAGGUGGUAUAAGAUGGGCCCGCGUCUGAUUAGCUGGUUGGGAGGGUAACGGCCUACCAAGGCGACGAUCAGUAGCCGGCCUGAGAGGGUGGACGGCCACAUUGGGACUGAGACACGGCCCAAACUCCUACGGGAGGCAGCAG